UAUAAAGGACCGAGGUCGGCUAAGAUCGCAACGUCCUGGGGCUGCGCUAACUCGCCCCACCGAAAAGAUUUGUUGCAACGCCGACACUAACACGUCCUGUGCG
rnacentral:sRNA from 1 species